AAUUGGGAAGGUGCCUAAUGCUAACUCCUAAUCCCUCUUCAGCAUCUCCUCCAGGUUUCCUAGCCGCUCCUCACCCUCCAUGCUCCUCCUUACAAUGCCCCCAAGCUCUUCUCCCCAGCUCUUAGCCCCAUCUCCCUCCCAGUCCUGACUCCAGAGUGUCUUCCCCAGGCUCCUUUUCUAUCCUGGCUUCUCCCUUUGUGUUUACCACCCCCUCCACUCUGCAAUGCCCACUCUGCUUCCCCCAAACGCCUCUUCUUCCUCUGCCUCUUCAGGCUCCUCCUCUCAAUCCUCAUCCUCUCCUCCCUAGCUCUGUCUUCUCCUAGCAUUCCUUUCAUGCUCCCCCCUCCAGAGCCUCCCCAACUCCUAGAUUCUUCCCCAACUACACACUCCCAAAUUUCUCGGGAUCCUCCUCUCUCCACUCUCUCCUUAUCCUGGAUCUCGCUCUGCCUCUUUCUCCGGCUCCUCCUCUCUUCAAGCUCCUCCCCUCUCCCUUUUCUCUGGAUCUCCUCUUCCCCCUCUUCUCUCCGCCCCCUAACCUAAGUUCUCUCCAAGCUCCCCCUCCCACUCCAGUCCUUCCCCUUUCCUUCCCCACCGCCCUCUGGACGCUCCUCCUCUCCCUCUAGGUCUUUGGCCCGGCCCACAGAAUGAUCGAUGUGUCCGUCUGCAGGCUGGUCCUCGGCGCUCGGCUCGCCACGCCUGCGACGCUGCCAUGGAGACGUAGCCGCGGCCUCCUGGCUCUGCCCGGGACCUGGAUCCCUUGCGUCAGCAGGCCCACGCGUGUCCGCGAGCGCCGGUGGCAAAGUCUGCUUCGCUGGAGCAUCCGGGCAAGCGGUGACUUUGCUGGCCGCUGGGGCGUAGGGCUCGCAUCCUUCCUCCUUCCAGUAGCUCUCAACUCCAUAGCUGAGGACCGCUUCUCUCACCAGCGGAGAGGAGACCCUGGGACCGCCAACCGUCUGUGGGUUAUUAAGGGACCUGCGAUUGUCCAUCCGCCUCAUCCUUCCGCUCAGCUCAGCUCAGCUAGCUGCAUCCUGUCACCCUUGGUAAGAGUGGAAGACUGGCUAGAAGAAAGGACCUGAACCAACGCUUAGUCCACAUCCCCAUUGUGUUUUGAGCGGUGUGGACAGGCCAGCCCCUGCUGCAGACACCCUGGAUACAUCUCUUUGAGCUCAGCAGUAUUGCAGCGGCAGUGGACACCUGACAAGCUUCCCAGGAGUGGUGUGGAGUCACUGUCAACACUAGAGCACUUUGUCUGGAAUGGCUCUCACGUGGCUCCUGAAUGGUCGGAGAUGUGUCUUGGAUUCUCCUGCCCUCCUGAGGAUCUUGCCUAUGGAAGGUCUAAGUUACCUACUUUCACUAUUAAGUUGAACAAGGACUCCCAAACCCAACAGCCAUCAAGGUUGUUGGCCAACUAGUUACAAAGCACAGCAGCCGGCUGUUCCUGGCCUAGGAGGAAAGCCAGGUGUGCAGGACGCUGGGCCUGUGGGAUGAGUGGGCGAGUCCCGCUGGCAGAGAAGGCCCUGUCAGAAUCCUAUGCCCGCCUCCGGUACAGGGAUACGUCCUUGCUCAUUUGGCAACAAGAGCAGCAGAAGUUGGAGUCUGUACCACCUAGUACAUACCUGAGCAGAAGCCGCAGCAUGUGGUACUCCCAGUAUGGAAAUGAGGCCAUCUUAGUUCGAGACAAAAACCAGCUUGGGGUCUCUAGGGACACUGGCCAGUCUAAGUUUUGCUCAAUCAUGUAAUUCCAGGGAGAAGACCCUUGAUGGCCAUGAAGAUCAAGCCGUGGUAUAAAAACGCAACACCCAAGAAUGUCAUCCAACACUUUAUUAGGGGCACAACAGGUACCUAGAUGCUCCUCUCACUGCCCAAGCCCAGGAAAUGCUUCCAAACAAAAGGGAAGCAAGAGAGGCACACACCCGACCCUCACCUGCUGUGAGCUGCUGCCUGAUAUAGAAUGGAUCAGGUCCAGGGUAAGGUGACUCUUCUUGCAGGGUCCCAGAUCUGUCAGCUCACUGCAGUGGCAUGUGAAAGGGGGGCAGUGCUGGUAGUGACAUUACUGCAUUGUGAUAGCAUCCACACUAGCCACCAGAUGUGGCCUCUUAUAUAGGUGUGUCCGUAAGCAAAAUGUGCCCCGAAGUGAUUCCAAGCCUAAUCAAGUGUGGGGAAAGUGGAUUCUGAUGGUGACGAAUCAGAUCCUCUCUUCUACCAGGUUGCAAAGGCACUCAUUUAGAGGCUAGCACUUUCCCCCACAUGGCUAUGCAAAUGUGGGGAUGCAUUUUGUCAAAACUGAGCUUUCUAAAUAAACAUCUUAAAGACUCUUCCCUUUCUCA
rnacentral:lncRNA from 1 species